rnacentral:rRNA from 1 species
UACGUAGGGGGCAAGCGUUGUCCGGAAUUAUUGGGCGUAAAGAGCGUGUAGGCGGUCCGGUAAGUCAGCUGUGAAAGUCAAGGGCUCAACCCUUGAAUGCCGGUUGAUACUGUCGGGCUAGAGUCCGGAAGAGGCGAGUGGAAUUCCUGGUGUAGCGGUGAAAUGCGUAGAGAUCAGGAGGAACACCCGUGGCGAAGGCGGCACUCUGGUCGACAUCUGACGCUGAGACGCGAAAGCGUGGGGAGCGAACGGG